rnacentral:rRNA from 1 species
UUCGCCCUUAGAGUUUGAUCCUGGCUCAGGACGAACGCUGGCGGCGUGCCUAACACAUGCAAGUCGAACGGAGAUAUUUAUUUCGGUAGAUAUCUUAGUGGCGCACGGGUGAGUAACGCGUGAAUAACCUGACCCGAAGAGGGGGAUAACACCUGGAAACAAGUGCUAAUACCGCAUAAGACCACGGACCGGCAUCGGUCAGAGGUCAAAGGAGAAAUCCGCUUUGGGAGGGGUUCGCGUCCCAUUAGGUAGUUGGUGAGGUAACGGCCCACCAAGCCGACGAUGGGUAGCCGAGCUGAGAGGCUGAUCGGCCACACUGGAACUGAGACACGGUCCAGACUCCUACGGGAGGCAGCAGUGGGGAAUAUUGGGCAAUGGGCGCAAGCCUGACCCAGCAACGCCGCGUGAGGGAAGAAGGUUUUCGGAUUGUAAACCUCUGUCGCAGGGGACGAAGGAAGUGACGGUACCCUGUAAGAAAGCCCCGGCUAACUACGUGCCAGCAGCCGCGGUAAUACGUAGGGGGCGAGCGUUGUCCGGAAUUACUGGGCGUAAAGGGAGCGUAGGCGGUCGAUUAAGUUAGAUGUGAAACCCCCGGGCUUAACUUGGGGACUGCAUCUAAUACUGGUUGACUUAGAGUACAGGAGAGGGAAGCGGAAUUCCUAGUGUAGCGGUGAAAUGCGUAGAUAUUAGGAGGAACACCAGUGGCGAAGGCGGCUUUCUGGACUGACACUGACGCUGAGGCUCGAAAGCGUGGGGAGCAAACAGGAUUAGAUACCCUGGUAGUCCACGCUGUAAACGAUGAAUACUAGGUGUAGGGGGUAUCAACUCCCUCUGUGCCGCAGCAAACGCAAUAAGUAUUCCGCCUGGGGAGUACGGCCGCAAGGUUGAAACUCAAAGGAAUUGACGGGGGCCCGCACAAGCAGCGGAGCAUGUGGUUUAAUUCGACGCAACGCGAAGAACCUUACCAAGGCUUGACAUCUACUUAAAGUCAUGGAAACAUGAUGUCUCUUCGGAGGAAGUAAGACAGGUGGUGCAUGGUUGUCGUCAGCUCGUGUCGUGAGAUGUUGGGUUAAGUCCCGCAACGAGCGCAACCCUUAUCUUUAGUAGCCAGCGGUCCGGCCGGGCACUCUAGAGAGACUGCCAGGGAUAACCUGGAGGAAGGCGGGGAUGACGUCAAAUCAUCAUGCCCCUUAUGACUUGGGCUACACACGUGCUACAAUGGCGUAAACAAAGGGAAGCAAAGCUGUGAAGCCGAGCAAAUCUCAAAAAUAACGUCUCAGUUCGGACUGUAGUCUGCAACCCGACUACACGAAGCUGGAAUCGCUAGUAAUCGCAGAUCAGAAUGCUGCGGUGAAUACGUUCCCGGGUCUUGCACACACCGCCCGUCA